rnacentral:rRNA from 1 species
AUCAAAGGUGAGCCAGUACAGGAUGGACCCGCGUCUGAUUAGCUAGUUGGUAAGGUAACGGCUUACCAAGGCGACGAUCAGUAGCCGACCUGGGAGGGUGAUCGGCCACAUUGGAACUGAGACACGGUCCAAACUCCUACGGGAGGCAGCAGUGGGGAAUAUUGCACAAUGGGCGAAAGCCUGAUGCAGCAACGCCGCGUGAGUGAUGAAGGCCUUCGGG